UCUUUUUAUCUUUCCUCACUCGUCUUCUGAUUCUCUUGUAUACUAUUAAUAAUCUUCCAUCAUUACAUAUUUUUUAUUCUUGAAUGUGUUAUCUCCCUAUAUUUAUUUUAUAUUAUCAGUUUGUCACAAAGACUUUAAUAUAUGAUGUUGAAAGCUUCUAUAUCGAGAUUCCGUACUAAUAUUAGUGAUAUAUACAGACUACUUUGACUCACUCACUUACUCAUCUACUUGUCUGUCUACCUGCGGCCCACCUGCCUGUUUAUGUCUGAUAUUAAGAUCUAGUGAUAUCUAGCAAAGAUAUCUAUUGAUGAUAUGAAUAUACAGCAUUGAUAUGAUGAUCUAGAAAUAAUAUGAAGAUCAAGAGAUAUCUCGUGUAUCUCACAAUGAUAUGAAUAUCCAAUGGUGAUAUCUAUUGUUGAUAUGAAGAUCUAGCAAAAUCAACGGUAGAAGAAACAGAUUAUGAUAGAGAUUGAAUUUGGGUAGAAGAUGACUAUAUAUAAAGAUAAUUUAUGGGUAAAAGCAGAGAUCGCUACUACUAAUAUGAUGAUAGAAAUCCAUACAUCGCUCUAUAAUAUAGCAAUCUCUCUCUUCUACUCUCAAAUCGUAUCUUCCUAUAGCUAAUUAUUACUACUGUUUACAGUUUUUUUUUUAAUACUCUUUAAUUAUUUUGUAUAUUCUUCUACGAUAUAGCACCUGAUCUCUUAAAUGAUGAUAGUAAC
rnacentral:sRNA from 1 species